rnacentral:pre_miRNA from 7 species
GAAUCCAUAUAGGUUUUUACUCAUGCACCAUGGUUGUCUGAGCACAUAACAUGCUUGUCUGCUCAUACCCUAUGGUUCCUGAAGAGGAAUCUUAACUGUCUACUGCU